UCAAGUAAGUAAGGGCGUACGGCGGAUGCCUUGGCCAUAUCAGCCGAAGAAGGACGCGAUAAGCUGCGAUAAGCUGCGGUGAGGUGCAAGUAACCUUUGACCCGCAGGUCUCCGAAUGGGGAAACCCGGCAGCAGUAGUGCUGUCAUCCUCUAUGAGGAAGGGCACCCGGUGAACUGAAACAUCUAAGUAGCCGGAGGAAAAGGAAUCAACAGAGAUACCCCUAGUAGCGGCGAGCGAACGGGGCAGAGCCCAAACCGGAAUGGGAAACCAAUCCGGGGUUGUGGACUGCUAUCAAAUGCAUGAGUGAAGCAGAAUGAGCUGGGAAGCUCAGCCAGAGAGAGUGAGAGCCUCGUAGGCGUAAGCAAAUGCAUGGAGCAGGAUCCAGAGUACCACGGGACACGAGAAACCCUGUGGGAAGCUGGGGGGACCACCCUCCAAGGCGAAACACUGAUAUGGACCGAUAGCGCAUAGUACCGUGAGGGAAAGGUGAAAAGAACCCCGGGAGGGGAAUGAAAGAGAACCUGAAACCGUAUGUCUACAAGCAGUCGAAGCACUUUUUAGGUGCGACGGCGUGCCUAUUGAAGAAUGAACCGGCGAGUUACUUCAGCUAGCGAGGUUAAGCGGAAAACGUGGAGCCGAAGCGAAAGCGAGUCUGAACAGGGCGUAUAGUUAGUUGGAGUAGACCCGAAACCACAGUGAUCUACCCAUGUCCAGGUUGAAGCACAGGUAAAAAUGUGUGGAGGACCGAACCAGUGAGCGUUGAAAAGCUUUUGGAUGAGAUGUGGGUAGGGGUGAAAUGCCAAUCGAACGUGGAGAUAGCUGGUUCUCCCCGAAAUAGCUUUAGGGCUAGCCUCAUGGCGAGAGUACAGGCGGUAGAGCACUGAACGGGGUAGGGGCCUAUCCGGCUACUGAACCUAAUCAAACUGCGAAUGGCUGUACUUAUCCAUGGGAGUCAGACUGUGAGUAAUAAGGCCCAUAGUCAAGAGGGAAACAGCCCAGACCAACAGCUAAGGUCCCCAAUGCCGUACUAAGUGGCGAAGGAUGUGGAAUUUCGAAAACAACCAGGAUGUUGGCUCAGAAGCAGCCACCAUUAAAAGAGUGCGUAAUAGCUCACUGGUCGAGAGACUCUGCGCCGAAGAUGUCCGGGGCUAAAGUACGGAACCGAAGCUUUGGCAAUUGACAUUAGUCAAUUGGGUAGGGGAGCGUUCCUGCAUGGGAGAAGCCUGACCGGAAGGACAGGUGGACAGGCAGGAAGAGAGAAUGCCGGUAUGAGUAGCGAAAAGAAGGGUGAGAAUCCCUUCCACCGAAAGCCUAAGGGUUCCUGGGCAACGAUCGUCGUCCCAGGGUAAGUCGGGACCUAAUCCGAGGCGGAGACGCGUAGGAGAUGGACAACAGGUUGAAAUUCCUGUACUGGCUGAGGCCGUUUGAGCGAAGGAGUGACACAGGAAGGAAGGCGCGCGUGCGAUUGGAAGAGCACGUCCAAGCAGGUAGGUUGGGAGACAGGCAAAUCCGUUUCCCAUGAGGCCGAGAUGCGAUGGGGAGCUUCUGGAGACAGAAGCGAAGGGGCUGGCACUAAACUGUCGAGAAAAGCUUCUAGUGAGGACUCAGGCACCCGUACCGAAACCGACACAGGUAGGCAGGAUGAGAAUUCUAAGGUGCGCGGGAAAACCCUCGUUAAGGAACUCGGCAAAAUAUAUCCGUAACUUCGGGAAAAGGAUAACCCAGCGUACGUGAAGUGCAGAAGCGCACGGAGCGGAGAUGGGUGGCAGAAGAGAGGCCCAAGCGACUGUUUACCACAAACACAGGCGUCUGCUAAAGCGAAAGCUGAUGUAUAGAUGCUGACACCUGCCCGGUGCUGGAAGGUUAAGAGGAAGUGUUAGCGCAAGCGAAGCAGUGAAUUGAAGCCCCAGUAAACGGCGGCCGUAACUAUAACGGUCCUAAGGUAGCGAAAUUCCUUGUCGGGUAAGUUCC
rnacentral:rRNA from 1 species